rnacentral:rRNA from 1 species
UACGGAGGGAGCUAGCGUUGUUCGGAAUUACUGGGCGUAAAGCGCACGUAGGCGGCUUUUUAAGUCAGGGGUGAAAUCCCGGGGCUCAACCCCGGAACUGCCCUUGAAACUGGAGAGCUAGAAUCUUGGAGAGGCGAGUGGAAUUCCGAGUGUAGAGGUGAAAUUCGUAGAUAUUCGGAAGAACCACAGUGGCGAAGGCGACUCGCUGGACAAGUAUUGACGCUGAGGUGCGAAAGCGUGGGGAGCAAACAGG